rnacentral:misc_RNA from 1 species
GAUGAAGAACGCAGCGAAAUGCGAUAAGUAAUGUGAAUUGCAGAAUUCAGUGAAUCAUCGAAUCUUUGAACGCACCUUGCGCCCUUUGGACAUUCCGAAGGGCAUGCCUGUUUGAGUAUCAUGAACACCUCAACUCUCACGGCUUGUCCGUGAUGAGCUUGGACUUUGGGGGUCUUGCCGGCCUGUGGUCGGCUCCUCUCAAAUGGAUCAGCUUGCCAGUGUUUGGUGGCAUCACAGGUGUGAUAACUAUCUGCGCUUGUGGUUUUCCAUCAGAUAACCUUCAGUGAUAUGGAGGUUCGCUGGAGCUCACAAAUGUCUCUCCUUAGUGAGGACAGCUCUUUGAACGUUUGAUCUCAAAUCAGGUAGGACUGCCCGCUGAACUUAAGCAUAUCAAUAAGCGGAGGA